AUGAAGAGCUUGAUUGAACUAUUCAAUGAGUGGGAAAUCCAACAACUUGUGCUCCUCAGCUUCGCACUGCAGUUGUACCUCUUCUUUACUGGAAGCCUUCGGCGGCAUAGCUCCAACAGGUUCCUAAGGUACUCCAUUUGGAUAGCUUACUUGGGGGCAGACUUGGUAGCAGUUUAUGCCCUCGGCCUACUAUCACGGCAUGAUCGAGAUAUCACCUUUGAAUGUCACAUACCAAGGAGAACCCAUACAGUGGCUUCUUUUUGGGCACCAUUUCUCCUCAUUCAUCUUGGUGGGCAGGACACCAUUACCGCUUUCGCAAUGGAGGACAACAACUUGUGGUUGAGGCAUUUGUUGAAUCUGGUGGUGCAAGUUGUCCUAGCUUUGUAUGUUUACUGGAAGUCUAUUCCAAGACUACACAGCGUGAAACUUGUAGUUUCAGGUAUCCUUGUGUUUGUUGCUGGAAUCAUCAAGUAUGGAGAGAGGACAUGGUCUCUCAAGUGUGGAAACCUUAAAAGCCUUGUGAGCUCGACCGGGCAUCGUUUCAACAAACGGGUGCCUGUAGACACCGACGGCUAUCCUGGCAUUGUUUCAGCUGCUCUAGGUAUGAUGCCACAAGUCCUUAAAAUAUUUGCAGCACGCGUUGUAUACUCUAGGCCUAGAGACCAAUUACUACCUGAAGAACCCAUCAAAAUGGUCAGGGAGAUGAGGAUCGAGCUUGGUCUGAUGUAUGAUGAUCUCUACACUAAGGCCGUUAUGCUCAGAACAAGGAGUGGCAUCAUAGUUAGAUGCAUCUCUCAGAUAUCUAUUGUUGCCGCUUUUGCGCUCUUCCAUGCACAAGAAGAUAAAUUGAGUACCUAUAGCGAAGCUGACAUUGCAAUCACCUAUUCACUACUUAUCGGUGGCCUUUUCCUGGAGCUUUGUUCAAUGUUUGUUUUCAUGAUGCCACCAUGGACAUGGGCAUGGUUGAAGGUCCGAAACUGGCACAGGCUUGCCGGUUUGUCCUGGUUCAUUUUUUACAGUGAUAUUGGAUGGCCGGAGAAGAAGCAAGGCUGGCCAAAUUCGAUGGGACAAUACAACCUUGCGAGCUGGUUGGCUCCUGGUAGCAGCGACCUCCAGCAGCAAGCAAGGGCGACAUUCAGUCAGCGAGCAAUGAGAAGGUUGUUUCUAGAUUUGCUCGGUGCUAAAAAGAAAAAUAUAUUUUGGAUGAGCAAGUUGUUAGACACCAAGUAUGUGGAUGUGGAUAAUAUGGUGAUCGAGUGUGUUACAAAGGAGAUUGCGGUCUUAGCCAGUGAAGUAAUGAAAGAGAGACGACAUAGACAUUGGCCCAAUCUUGAACCUUUGUUCAUAAACAGCAAAGACAUUUUCAUUCAGGAUUUUGGUAGUGCUAUUGUGAAUAUUCAUGUGCUGACUGAGCUGCUCUUGAGUGAACAACAAACUUGGUCAUACAUGGAUGCAAAAUUGGUGGAGGUAUGCAGGAAACUGUCCAACUACAUGAUGUACUCCCUCCGUUCGGAAUUACUCGUCCAAUAA
rnacentral:rRNA from 1 species